UCAGGCCUCCACCUGCACCCCCUGUGAUUCUCCAGGGUCUAAUUAACUGCUGCGCUGAACUGCUACCCCUGCUUUAUAAUCACACUGACACACACACACACACACACACACACACACACACACACACACACACACACACACAGCACCCUAAUCAGCACACAGCCCCUCACAACUCUUGUGGUAACACACACAACUGAGACAAAUAAAACAUGGCUGCCAACGACGGAGCUGUCUGCCUCCUCACAAAGGCUCGUUUCAGACGCUCCCAUAGCCAUUUGCAUUUUACUACCGGAGCAGCCUUUGCCUUUGUCAGGUAUAGGUCACACAGAAAAGACUGUCCAGACACGCUUCUCGUUUUUUGUUCCUGUAAUUGCUUAAUUAAGUUUGUUAAUUAGCUCCGCAGAAUAAAUGUCAGGCUGUUACGAGCCGCUUUGAAGAGGGAAAAACUGAUAGAGCCCUGCAAUGUGUGAGCACUUUGCCACAAGGAAAGCUGCAGUGAACAACACCUACUGAGACCGCCAGCAGUCAUCAAUAAUAUAUAGGAAGCUUCCAAACCAACCUGCCAGGUAUAUGAUGCUUGACUCCGAGGGAUACAAAAGAGGCAAGUGAAAAACAUGUUCUUGUACAAUGACCAUACACACUAUCAUAUUAAAUCUGUCUAAGAAAUGUGGCUGUUGAUGUUUAUCUUUACAUAUUUUAUCACUUAUAAAGAUUUGCCCAAUGUCCUCUCACAAAUAUAUAAAACAAGUUCCAUUUUGUUUUCUAUUUUUUUCAACCAGGAACCACACAAUAUUUGUUUAACAAUAUAAUCUUAUAAUCUAUAAUAAGAAUCUAUAUUUUCUUAAAUGUGGAUGAUGCAUUAAGACAGAUUUGGCUCACAUGAUUUUUCUCUUCUUCUAUGAUUCAGAAAACAAUUUGUUUGAUAUGGUACAUGUAAAUACUAGAAUAAUGUGUGUUUUUCUUUUGGAAG